AUGACCCUGCUGGCACUGCCCACCCUGGAUCUCCCCACGGCACAGGGACAGGGGGACACACGGCACAGGGACAGACAGGGCUGGCAGUGGCACUGCACAGGGACACGGCACAGGGGGACACACAGCACAGGGACACCCAGGGCUGGCAGUGGCACUGCACAGGGACACAGCAGCCCCAGAGAGCAGCGUGCAGCCCCUGGCAAGCUGCAGCAUCCUCCUCCUGCUCCUGCUCCCUCUCCCCACAGCCCGGCACCUCCCGUUUCCCUGGGAACACAGACUUGCCCACUUGUAAUUCACAGCCUGAGCCCCUCACAUCUGCUGCCACUUUUGUCUGAGCAGCACCCAGGCAGUAAAUCCCAUUUACUGUCCCUGCUCCCUGGGGUCUGGGCUAUGUGGCCCUGCACUGAUCAUGCUGAUCAAUGGGAAGGAGAAUUUACGGGACUGAAAGUGGAGCAGGACUCCAGAAAUGCUCAUUAAAAAAGACUUCGAGGAGGCUGGGGCUGGUUUUGUUCUUUGGACUUGGGUUUGUUUGUUUGUUUGUUUUGGGGUUUUUGGUGUUACAUUAAAGAAGCCAAAUUUUAAAGAGGUCCAAACCCCCAUCAUUCCAAGAUCCCUGGCAAUGCCCUGCUUGCUGCC
rnacentral:lncRNA from 12 species